AAUAGAUACCCGGGUAGUCCACGCUGUAAACGUUGGGCGCUAGGUGUGGGGAGCAUUCAUGUUUUCCGUGCCGUAGCUAACGCAUUAAGCGCCCCGCCUGGGGAGUACGGCCGCAAGGCUAAAACUCAAAGGAAUUGACGGGGGCCCGCGACAAGCGGCGGAGCAUGUGGAUUAAUUCGAUGCAACGCGAAGAACCUUACCUGGGUUUGACAUGCACCAGACAUCCCUAGAGAUAGGGCUUCCCUUGUGGUUGGUGUGCAGGUGGUGCAUGGCUGUCGUCAGCUCGUGUCGUGAGAUGUUGGGUUAAGUCCCGCAACGAGCGCAACCCUCGUUCCAUGUUGCCAGCGCGUAAUGGCGGGGACUCAUGGGAGACUGCCGGGGUCAACUCGGAGGAAGGUGGGGAUGACGUCAAGUCAUCAUGCCCCUUAUGUCCAGGGCCUCACACAUGCUACAAUGGCCGGUACAGAGGGUUGCGAGACCGUGAGGUGGAGCGAAUCCCGUUAAAGCCGGUCUCAGUUCGGAUCGGGGU
rnacentral:rRNA from 1 species